UUACGGCCACAUCAGUUUGAAACACCGAUCCCCGUAUGAUCAGAGAAGUUAAGAAACGUCGAGCCUUGUCAGUACCUAAAUGGGUAACCACUUGGGAAUAUCAGGUGUGGUAA